rnacentral:rRNA from 1 species
UACGAAGGGGGCGAGCGUUGUUCGGAUUUACUGGGCGUAAAGGGCGCGCAGGCGGCGCAUUUUGUCAGGCGUGAAAGCCCCGGGCUUAACCUGGGAACUGCGUUUGAUACGGAUGGGCUAGAGUUCGGGAGAGGAGAGUGGAAUUCCCAGUGUAGAGGUGAAAUUCGUAGAUAUUGGGAAGAACACCAGUGGCGAAGGCGGCUCACUGGCCCGUAACUGACGCUGAGGUGCGAAAGCGUGGGGAGCAAACAGG